CGGGCUGUAGCGCAGUUGGUAGCGCGCUUGACUGGGGGUCAAGAGGUCGCAGGUUCAACUCCUGUCAGCCCGAC
rnacentral:tRNA from 1 species